UCAGAGCACAGCUGCUUCACCCCUAAGUAUACGCCUAGAGGCCACAUGAAACAUACUCCCUGUCUGCUCACAGUAUGUGUUCUCCAGGAGCAAAGCUUUGUUGCUCUGAGAGCUAUUUUUGACUUUAAAGACCGAACAGGAGAUGCAUUGUGAGACAAGCAGGUUGGUAAAGUAUAUCGUGUAUAUCGAUGGCAUCCUGGUCUACUCGGCUGCCUUGGAGGAUCACAUCGCUCAAGUCCGAGUUGUCCUGGAACGCUUCCUGGCUAACCACCUGUUUGUCAAGGCUGAGAAGUGCCAGUCAUCAGGAGGCCGUCUCCUUCCUAGGCUACCAAAUCAGCAUACAAGGAGUGAAGAUGGAUGUCAAGAAGAGAGGAAUGAUGAUGUCGGUGAUCAAGAGCUCCUGGCUGUGAAGUUGGCUCCAAGGACCCAUUCAUCAUCCUCACUGACCAUCGGAAUCUGGAGUACUUACGGACAGCGAAGAGGCUGAAUCCGCGCCAAGCAAGAUGUGGAUAUCCGCCAGGCUCUGGAGAGGGAGCCCACACCCACUACCUGUCCUGAGUGCAUCUACGUUCUCACGGGGAUCGGCUGCUGACCUGGGAGCACACAGCUGUCGUCGUUGGACAUCCAGGUCGCUGAGUCAUUAUGGCCUUCCGGAGGACAUCAUCUCCAACCGUGGGCCCAAAUUCACAUCACGGGCAUGGAGAGCCUUUAUGGAGAAGCUCAUGGUCACGGUCAGCUUCACUUCCGGGUAUAGGCCUCAGUCCAACAGGCAGGUGUAGAGGAGGAACCAGGAGCUGGGGAGGUUCCUGAGGAGUCACUGCCAGGACCGGCAGGGAGAAUGUCAUGUCUACUCCCGCUCCUCCCCUCCAGCGUUCGAGCUCGCCGGUUUACUAACCACCAGUCCUGGGAAGCAUCAUCCCGCGCACGUGCACUUCAUCAUUACGCACACCUGGACUCCAUUUCCUCCCCUUUAUCUGACACUCCCUUAGUUUCUUUCCCCAGGCAGUAUUGUUUUCUGUUGUUCAUAUCUAGAUGCUACUCCUAUGUUGUAUCAUUACAUGUUUCUUGUUAUAUUAAUCUUACUACCUGCUUCUUGACUCCCAGAGUCUACAUUACAGUAGAUUAAAAUCAAAACUGUAAUCUGGCCACUCAGGAAUUCACUGUAAAUAACUCCAGUACAGAUUUGGCUUUGUGUUUUAGGUUAUUGCCCUGCUGAAAGGAGAAUUCAUCUCCCAGUAUCUAGUGGUAAGCAGACAACUAGAUUUUGCCUGUGCUUAGCUCCAUUCCGUAAUUUUUUUAAAUCCUGAAAUACUCCCCAGUACUUAACGAUUA